UACGUAGGGGGCAAGCGUUGUCCGGAUUUAUUGGGCGUAAAGAGCUCGUAGGCGGUUGGGCAAGUCACGUGUGAAAUCUCCACGCUCAACGUGGAGGCCCCACGUGAGACUGCCCUGACUCGAGUCCGGUAGGGGAGCGUGGAAUUCCCGGUGUAGCGGUGAAAUGCGCAGAGAUCGGGAGGAACACCCGUAGCGAAGGCGGCGCUCUGGGCCGGUACUGACGCUGAAAAGCGAAAGCCAGGGGAGCAAACGGG
rnacentral:rRNA from 1 species